AGCUACACAUGCAGUCGAGCGGUUGCACAGGAGAGCUGCUCUCGCGAUGCGACGACUGACGGAUGGGUAAGGACUGUCUGGCUGCCUGGCUGAGGGAGGGGGAUUCCUACUGGAGGCGGUAAUUAAUACUACAUACUGUCGGAGACCUGGGGGAUCUUCUUCCGGCCUCUUGCCAAUGAAUGUGCCCAGAUGGGAUUAGUUGGUGGUGGGGUAACUACUCACCUAACCAACCAUCCCUGGCUGGUCUGAAUGGAUGACCACCCUGACUGGAACUGACACACGGUCCUCACUCCUACGGCAGGCAUGGGUGGGGAAUAUUGCACAAUGGGCGCCUCCUGAUGCAUGCAUGCCGCGUGUAUGAAGAAGGCCUUCGGGUUGUAACUUACUUUUGGCGGGAAGGAAGGUGUUUUGGUUCCUUGCUGUUUUGACUUUACUUACCCGCUAAACACCGACCUAACUAAGUGCGUGCCACCGCCGUAAUAAAUAAGGGAGGCGUGCGUUAAUUAAUAAUUACUGACUGGUAAAGCGCGCGCAAGGUGGUUCAUCUGUUUGGUAUGUAUGUAUCCCUCCCGCUCCUCCUGGCUAACUGCUUCCAAAACUACUGAGCUAGCUAUACGUCUUGUAGGUGGGGGGAAUUUCUUCCUGUGUGUAGCGAAAUACAUGCGAUAUAGAUAUGGAACA
rnacentral:rRNA from 1 species